rnacentral:rRNA from 1 species
CGAAAGCGUGGGAGCAAACAGGAUUAGAUACCCUGGUAGUCCACGCUGUAAACGAUGUCUACUAGCCGUCGGGGUCCUUAGUGACUUUGGUGGCGCAGCUAACGCGAUAAGUAGACCGCCUGGGGAGUACGGCCGCAAGGUUAAAACUCAAAUGAAUUGACGGGGGCCCGCACAAGCGGUGGAGCAUGUGGUUUAAUUCGAUGCAACGCGAAGAACCUUACCAGGUCUUGACAUCCUCGGAACUUGGCAGAGAUGCCUUGGUGCCUUCGGGAGCCGAGUGACAGGUGCUGCAUGGCCGUCGUCAGCUCGUGUCGUGAGAUGUUGGGUUAAGUCCCGUAACGAGCGCAACCCUUGUCCUUAGUUGCCAGCACGUCAUGGUGGGAACUCUAGGGAGACUGCCGGUGACAAACCGGAGGAAGGUGGGGACGACGUCAGGUCAUCAUGGCCCUUACGACCUGGGCUACACACGUGCUACAAUGGCUGGUACAGAGGGUUGCGAAGUCGCGAGGCGAAGCUAAUCCCUUAAAGCCAGUCGUAGUCCGGAUCGGAGUCUGCAACUCGACUCCGUGAAGUCGGAAUCGCUAGUAAUCGCGGAUCAGAAUGCCGCGGUGAAUACGUUCCCGGGCCUUGUACACACCGCCCGUCACACCAUGGGAGUGGAUUGCACCAGAAGUGGCUAGUCUA